rnacentral:rRNA from 1 species
GACGAACGCUGGCGGCGUGCUUAACACAUGCAAGUCGAACGGAAAGGCCCUGCUUUUGUGGGGUGCUCGAGUGGCGAACGGGUGAGUAACACGAGAGUAACCUGCCCUUGACUUUGGGAUAACUUCAGGAAACUGGGGCUAAUACCGGAUAGGAGCUCCUGCUGCAUGGUGGGGGUUGGAAAGUUUCGGCGGUUGGGGAUGGACUCGCGGCUUAUCAGCUUGUUGGUGGGGUAGUGGCUUACCAAGGCUUUGACGGGUAGCCGGCCUGAGAGGGUGACCGGCCACAUUGGGACUGAGAUACGGCCCAGACUCCUACGGGAGGCAGCAGUGGGGAAUAUUGCACAAUGGGCGGAAGCCUGAUGCAGCAACGCCGCGUGCGGGAUGACGGCCUUCGGGUUGUAAACCGCUUUCGCCUGUGACGAAGCGUGAGUGACGGUAAUGGGUAAAGAAGCACCAGCUAACUACGUG